GUCUUAUUGCCCCGGGCAACAUACUUCUUUGGACCGGCCCUGGGUCCUUGCAUUGCAAUUGCCUAUUUAUCGGUUCUAAAGGACUGUGAGAUUCAUUGCUUUCAUGAAGGAUUGGAAGUCAAACGACUUGGUGGUCUCCAUGUCAUUGGGACAUCUUUGCAUGAGUCCCGAAGAAUUGAUAAUCAGCUUCGUGGCAGAGCAGGAAGGCAAGGAGAUCCUGGAUCAACACGCUUCAUGGUCAGAGAAGGAAAAAGAUAGAAGUUUUUGAGGAUGUUGCUGAUGAAAAAGAUAGAGGUUCUUUAGGAUGCUGCUAAUGAAGUUUAUGCAGAGAAGGAAAAAGAUAGAAGUUUGUUGGCACAUAGUAAGCUAGAUAAUUAAUGCAAUUGUAUAUAAAUGAGUUCAUUUUUUAUAACAUUUACUCACUAUUGGAAUAAUUAUUU